AUACGGAGGAUCCGAGCGUUAUCCGGAUUUAUUGGGUUUAAAGGGAGCGUAGGUGGGAUAUUAAGUCAGCUGUGAAAGUUUGGGGCUCAACCUUAAAAUUGCAGUUGAUACUGGUUUCCUUGAGUACGGUACAGGUGGGCGGAAUUCGUGGUGUAGCGGUGAAAUGCUUAGAUAUCACGAAGAACUCCGAUCGCGAAGGCAGCUCACCGGGCCGGAACUGACACUGAUGCUCGAAAGUGCGGGUAUCAAACAGGAUUAGAUACCCUGGUAGUCCGCACAGUAAACGAUGAAUACUCGCUGUUUGCGAUACACGGUAAGCGGCCAAGCGAAAGCGUUAAGUAUUCCACCUGGGGAGUACGCCGGCAACGGUGAAACUCAAAGGAAUUGACGGG
rnacentral:rRNA from 1 species